CCGGGCGCACGGGUGAGUAACACGUAUCCAACCUGCCGUCUACUCUUGGCCAGCCUUCUGAAAGGAAGAUAAUCCAGGAUGGCAUCAUGAGUUCACAUGUCCGCAUGAUUAAAGGUAUUUUCCGGUAGACGAUGGGGAUGCGUUCCAUUAGAUAGUAGGCGGGGUAACGGCCCACCUAGUCAACGAUGGAUAGGGGUUCUGAGAGGAAGGUCCCCCACAUUGGAACUGAGACCCGGUCCAA
rnacentral:rRNA from 1 species